GAGCGAAGCGGGAAGAGCUCAAAUUUAUAAUCUGGCACCUUCGGUGUCCGAGUUGUAAUCUCUAGAAGUGUUUUCCGCGUUGGACCGCACACAAGUCUGUUGGAAUACAGCGGCAUAGUGGUGAAACCCCCGUAUAUGGUGCGGACGCCCAGCGCUUUGUGAUACACUUUCAAUGAGUCGAGUUGUUUGGGAAUGCAGCUCAAAUUGGGUGGUAAAUUCCAUCUAAAGCUAAAUAUUGGCGAGAGACCGAUAGCGAACAAGUACCGUGAGGGAAAGAUGAAAAGCACUUUGGAAAGAGAGUUAACAGUACGUGAAAUUGUUGGAAGGGAAACGCUUGAAGUCAGACUUGCUUGCCGGAGCUUGCUUCGGUUUGCAGGCCAGCAUCAGUUUUUCGGGGUGGAUAAUGACGGUUUGAAGGUAGCAGUCUCGGCUGUGUUAUAGCUUUCCGUUGGAUACAUCCUGGGGGACUGAGGAACGCAGCGUGCUUUUUGCGAAAGACUCGUCUUUUUCACGCUUAGGAUGCUGGUGGAAUGGCUUUAAACGACCCGUCUU
rnacentral:rRNA from 1 species